rnacentral:miRNA from 1 species
UACGUGCAUUUCAGCUCAUCUU